rnacentral:rRNA from 1 species
AAUUGCAGAAUUCCGCGAAUCAUCGAGUCUUUGAACGCAAGUUGCGCCCGAGGCUUGACCAAGGGCAUCCCUGCCAGAGCGUCAUU